rnacentral:rRNA from 1 species
AGCGAACGCUGGCGGCAGGCUUAACACAUGCAAGUCGAACGGGCACUUCGGUGCUAGUGGCAGACGGGUGAGUAACACGUGGUAACGUACCUUUCGGUUCGGAAUAAUACAGGGAAACUUGUACUAAUACCGGAUACGCCCUUUGGGGGAAAGAUUUAUCGCCGAUUGAUCGGCCCGCGUCUGAUUAGCGAGUUGGUGAGGUAAUGGCACACCAAGGCGACGAUCAGUAGCUGGUCUGAGAGGAUGAUCAGCCACACUGGGACUGAGACACGGCCCAGACUCCUACGGGAGGCAGCAGUGGGGAAUAUUGGACAAUGGGCGCAAGCCUGAUCCAGCCAUGCCGCGUGAGUGAUGAAGGCCUUAGGGUUGUAAAGCUCUUUUGUCCGGGAAGAUAAUGACUGUACCGGAAGAAUAAGCCCCGGCUAACUUCGUGCCAGCAGCCGCAGUAACAC